GUGUCGUGUAAGUGUCUGUUGUGUGGGUCAUCUAUUGUCUCUAGGCUAUUUAUUUUUCACUAUUUUUUGAUGGCAACAGACAGUUCUCAGUCAUGCUGCAUAAUCACAGGAUGACAGAAUGACUGAGGAUGGGAGGGACUUCUGGAUCCAACUGAUUCAACUCCUGCUCAACGGAGUUGCCCAGAGAAGGUUGCCCAGGGCCAUGUCCAGACUCUGAGCCACAAAGACCAAACAGCUAGUCCAGAAUCCUGCAGGAAUUUUAUGACAGAUUGAGAACUGGACCUUUCUCUAUCAAGUCUCAACUUAGUGAUUCACCAGCAUGAAGAAUCCCCAAAUUCAAAUUUGCAGCCUUCCUAAAGUGGUCUGAUAUUGAAGAACCAGAGCCAAGCUGAGAAAAAUGAACAUCUGCUUUUGCAGAAUAUAAAAUACGCUUUUCCCUUCUUCUCUGUCACUCUCAUAUAGUGCAAAGAUAGCAUGAACUGCACCAGCCCUCAUUUAGUAAUGCUUUUACUUGUU